UCGCUCAUUUGGCAGAAGCAUUUGCAGCGGAGCAUAAGGGGUGGAAGCCAGACUGCAGAGAAACUGAUGACUGGCUGUAAACGGGCUCUAUCCUUUGCUUCUCCUGACCUGAAGAAAGCUGGUCGCCCACUUUGCCCUGCUGACUGAAGUAGUGAGUCUUGGCUAAAUCAGAUUAGGGUCUGUUACGUCUCAGCUCUGUGUUCUUGGGCAACCCUGGCACAGGAUGCAGUCUGUCUGACUCACAAAGGACUCACACCCCUUCCCUCCCCUCCUCUACCUAAACGAAAGUCAUUAAGAUGCAGUGAGAGACGCACCUAAGACCCUCAAGAUAAGGGUGACAAGAGUGAACCAACUGCCCUAGGUCUCAUUUACAUCUGAGAUGGAACCAGAUGACCAUUCAUUUACAUGAGAGAUGGAGAACAGAAAGCCUGAAGCAGAGACUGCAGUGAAUUCUGGGACCAGAGAAGCAGGGGAGCACUGCAUGAUGGGGAAUCUGUGCUCCAAAUUUUUAUCAACCCAUGUUCACACACACCCAGCUCAGCAUUUAUCAGACCAGUUCUAAUCUGGAUUUACUAAGGACUUUUCCCCCCCCAGACACACACACACCUCUAAGUUUAAUAGGCAUCUCGGGCCAUACAUUCCCCGGUCCCACUAUGGGAGGCCUAUUUAAACUUGAUUGACUAAAACUCGGUUGCUGGGUUAGGGAAUGCUGAGGCAAGACACCGAGUCAGAGGGGGUAUGGACAACAUUUGAACAAUGGUUAAGGGUUCAUCACAACGUCCAGCCCGUUGGAACCCUAAUCACAGGUGUUAUCGUACCUUUCCCGAGACGACUGGUGGGAGUCCUCUCCACAAAAGGUUAUGAACACCCCAAUAAUUGCUUUAAGUCUGUUAAAAGACUAUAGUAAAAUCUGGAAAAGUCAUGCUAAGCUGAGGCUUGUGCACAACAAGUACAAAUCCAAAAUCCUGAUGCUGCAAGCUAUCUAUUGUUCCUGAAGAAACCAUGAGAUAUCCCAUCAGGAUAUCUGCCAUCCAUAGGAAUCUCAAGCUGGCUCCCAAGUAUUUGGUUACUCCCUAAUCUUAAGUGUUUCCUGAUUAUCAGUGUUCCAAACCAGAUGUUCCAAACCAGAUAACCCCUUGUCAAUAGAAAAGACAAUGAUUUACACUACUGAGGGUGCUUCGAAGCAGCUGAACUGAGGGUAUAAAAAUCUGUAAAAAGUGUGUGCGCUUCAAGAAGAAGGAAGAAGAAGGAAGGAAGGAGAGAAAGAAAGAAGAAAACUCCUGUGCUGACACCAUCCCCUGUUGUUCUUGGGACGCUGGAAGAACAGAUCAUCUCCCUUCAAGGACUGUGCCUGUCAGCUCUGCAGCCUGAGUACCUUGUGUGGUUUCUGCUACUAUGAGAAGAUUCUAAUGGCGAAUUUCCUUGAUGGCUCCAUCCUACUUACUACGGUGAGAAGAAAUUUAAAAAUAUCAUCACUAUGCUCAUCUUGUUUUAUGAACAGAUUCACGUAUUCACAGAAGUUUAGGGCUGGAAGGAACUUCAUGAGAUCAUCAGGUCCAGCCCCCCUGUUCUGGGCAGGAAAGACUAGUGGCGUCAGAUAACCCCAGCAAGGUUGGCUAAUCUCAAAUGGUGAGCUUUAAACUAGGUUCAUGCAGGAGGACACUUUGACAUCAAGCCAGGUGACUCGAGUAGGAACAACCCAGGUUUGGUCUUAGGCACCACUGCUUUUUUUUAAUGCCCAUAGAAGGACUUGGGCUAUGUCUACAGUGCACCUGGAAGCAUGAGUUCAGCUUGUGCAGAUGUACCCAUGUGAACACCCAUAUCAAGGAGACUGUAGCAGCAGAAGUUUCAGCAGUCAAACAGGGUUGUGGGCAAGGACCAGAUGGUACAGAAGCUUGGAAAUGUUUAUGUUAAUGAUUCACCAGACUGACAGGAACAGAUCCAGGAUUUAAUGUAUGCUUACACCUACUGUUACGUGCCAAGAGAACCCUAAAUGAAAAUGAACAGAAAUCAUGUGGGCACAAGAAACUUUUCAAGACCAGGAUUUACCAGAAUAUGAAUUUUGGAAACACAUGAAGACUAACAGUGGAUGUGAUAUCUGGAUACUGCAUUGGAGGCAUAUUGUGGGCCAAUACACCCAACAGAAUAACAGACAUGGAUCCAGAAGACAAACUAUCAGUUGUGCACAGUGGGCAAACAGCACAAGAUACAAACCACAGCAACAACUGUGAAGAAAAUGUCACAACAUUUUUUGGCAUGAGGCACUGAAAGCAAAAGCAUUAUACACUGACUCUGGAAGAUGAAAGAAGCCAUUCUCCUUGGCUAUGAUCUGCACCAUCAUGAAAACAUGGCAAGAAAUGUGUGUACAGGCAUUCAAGUGCCCUUUUGUCUGGAGUGCUUCAAAGCGUUGCAAGAGCCCACACAGUUGAUGCUCCUCAUCCAUGAGGCUGGUGUGCAGAGAUCCCAGCAUGCUUUGCAGGGGCCCUUGUCUCUGGAGGUUCCUGAGGACAGCCAAGUCCAGGGAAAAGAACUGAUUAGCUGGCCACCCAUGGAACCAUACCCACCAAGGACUUCUUGCUCAGCCCUCGGUACUGGGCUGCCAAAGCCACAGGACAGAGACUGGCAACAGGGAAGGGCUCUAACACUGGCUCCACUUCAGGAGGUGGGCUUCAUGGAUUCCUCUUGGUCUCCGCUAUGGUCUUUAUGAAUUACAGCAGACAAUCUCAACACUAAGCACACACAGGUUAUGUUACAGUCCUGCAAGGCUCCAAUGUUGCCUCUGCUUUGGAAGAAGUGCCGAAGAGUCUCCCCUUCACUCUGGCCAUCACAUUUGCCAUGUGUAAAAGGAAGGACCUGGACAUAAACUCAAUCCCCCAUGGGUGCUUGGUUGGUUUCUGUAGUGUCUUGUCGGUUUCUGUACUGUACCAACUACCACGUUUGCCUUACAGAAAGUUUCCCUGGUUCAAGACCCAUAAAAGACAACCUCCUGCUUGCUGCCUUCCCUGCAGCCUGGCUUGUAAAUAAUGCCAGAGAUGAUGAUUCAGCAGAAAUCAGUGUUUUUGGCAGGGCAGAAGGGUCUCAGUGGCAGAUUCCUGCUCCAUUUGUUGGGCAUGAAGGACUUUCUCUUGUCCACAAAGAGAAACAAGGUGAACAAUGCACAGCAGGGGAAACAUGGCUGUUUGUGGGCCAGGCUUCACUUCCUUGGGGUAGCAGAGUCUGACGUGAAUCACAAAGUCUCUGGAGCCAUGGCAGGGAUACAGAGCACAACCUCCUGGGAUAACAGAGGACCAAGGUACAUCCAGUGAUGCUCCACAUAACUGGACUGGU